GUUUUUCAAAAACAUGUCUUUUUGAAUUUAAUUUAAAGUCUAGCCUGCCCACUGAAUUAGUUUAAAUGGCCGCAGUAUUUUAACUGUGCAAAGGUAGCAUAAUCAUUAGUCUUUUAAUUGAAGGCUGGAAUGAAUGGUUGAAUGAAAUAUUAACUGUUUCAUAAAAAUUAUUAAUAGAAUUUUAUUUUUUAGUCAAAAAGCUAAAAUUCGAUUAAAAGACGAGAAGACCCUAUAAAUCUUUAUAUUUUAUUGGGGUGAUAUUAAAAUUUAAUAAACUUUUAAUUAAUAAUUUACAUAAAUUAAUGAAUUAUUGAUCCAUAUAUUAUGAUUAAAAAAUUAAGUUACUUUAGGGAUAACAGCGUAAUUUUUUUAGAGAGUUCUUAUUGAUAAAAAAGAUUGCGACCUCGAUGU
rnacentral:rRNA from 1 species